GACGAACGCUGGCGGCGUGCCUAAUACAUGCAAGUCGAGCGAAUGGAUUAAGAGCUUACUCUUAUGAAGUUAGCGGCGGACGGGUGAGUAACACGUGGGUAACCUGCCCAUAAGACUGGGAUAACUCCGGGAAACCGGGGCUAAUACCGGAUAACAUUUUGAACCGCAUGGUUCGAAAUUGAAAGGCGGCUUCGGCUGUCACUUAUGGAUGGACCCGCGUCGCAUUAGCUAGUUGGUGAGGUAACGGCUCACCAAGGCAACGAUGCGUAGCCGACCUGAGAGGGUGAUCGGCCACACUGGGACUGAGACACGGCCCAGACUCCUACGGGAGGCAGCAGUAGGGAAUCUUCCGCAAUGGACGAAAGUCUGACGGGGCAACGCCGCGUGAGUGAUGAAGGCUUUCGGGUCGUAAAACUCUGUUGUUAGGGAAGAACAAGUGCUAGUUGAAUAAGCUGGCACCUUGACGGUACCUAACCAGAAAGCCACGGCUAACUACGUGCCAGCAGCCGCGGUAA
rnacentral:rRNA from 1 species